UGAGUGUAGGUGAUUUGUUGCAACUCUGUAACCUGAGUGUAGGUCAUUGGUUGCAACUCUGUAACCUGAGUGUAGGUCAUUGGUUGCAACUCUGUAACUUGAGUGUAGGUCAUUUGUUGCAACUCUGUAACCUGAGUGUAGGUGAUUUGUUGCAACUCUGUAACCUGAGUGUAGGUCAUUUGUUGCAACUCUGUAACCUGAGCGUGGGUCAUUGGUCGCAACUCUGUAACUUGAGUGUAGGUGAUUUGUUGCAACUCUGUAACUUGAGUGUGGGUCAUUGGUUGGUAUGAUUGUUGUCAGAUAAACGAGCAACAGAGGAACUGGUCGUUAUAUUAAUGUCUGUGCAGCAGUAUUUCUUACAGCUCAUUAUGCACUGUAUUUCGAGAGCUGUGCAUUUAACUCGAAAACACAAUGCCUGUUUUAAAGUCAUUUGUGCCAUAAUCGUGUGUUUUUCAUACAUUCCACUGUCCCAACUGCAUUGACAAUGAUGGAAACAAGCCCUGUGGUCUGUAAGCACCAGCUAUUGCGCUGAAGUUUCCAUGCUAGACAGUCAUUUUGGAUGGGUGAAAGUAGUGUUACUACCAAUGGUAGUAACCAGAAGAUGUUGACUCUGGUGCGGCAAUGCUGGAAUUAUAAGGAUAAUAUCAAGUUAGAGACUUGUUGCCUAAAUACACAUGCAUGUCCCCAGAAAAAAAAUCCCUGGAAACAUUAUUGCAAUUAGCACUGCCCAAAAUUAGUUUCCUUUUGAAGACAAACGUUUAUUUUGUGGAUUAGCAGUGUUCGAUUUGUUUGAGAUGAAUUUUUUAUUUGCCAGUCAUAGAGAAUAGAUCCGUUUCAUGCAGCAGUUAUUUGCUCGGGAUUGAUAAUGUUGCAAUGCCAGUGUGUGCAAUUUCUCGUGCUAAGGUAAAGAGUUGUCUACCCUUCAGCUAAUCUGUAGAUCUGAUGAUAUGCACUUGUACUUAAGUAUAAUCUGAAGCAUACUAAGAUUCAAGUAAAUUAGGUCAUAAUACAUGUAUGUACAUGUAUAUUUGCUAACAUUCCAGAAGAAGGUCUUUUUAACAUACCAUAUGUUGUUUUUUACUUCUCAGCAGAUGUAUACAUAUGUAAUAUUAAGAAUCAUAAAGAAGGUGUGACAGAUUUAACGUGUUAUUCACUCAAACAUCUGGAAUCAAGUGUGUAUUGUGAGACCACGAAAUGCUUAGAUCCCUGUUAAUAAACUACAUGUAUAAAUCAGUCAGUCGUAAACAGUUACAGUGGUUUCUUUGCAUGUUGAUGUUAAAGCUUGCAUAUAUUUGUGUUUUCUAUCAUAUGUAAUUACUGAAUAUUAAUGGAAAACACCUGGUACAGUCUACAUGUACCAGGCUCUCUGAUGCUACUCAAGCCAACCUGUACUUUCAUCAAUAUACAAUGCAAAAAAAUAAAAACAACACAAAAAACAAUCUUUAUGACAUGCUUAUUCUAAACCAGCUCUACUAGACUAAUUGUGGUAUAUGAUUAAUUACAUGUAGGUUGGCACACAUGGAAGACCAAAGUUGAAAGAUGUCUCUUCCUGUCUGUAUAAUAACUUAUGGUUAAUGUUUUUUGGAAACGAGAGGUAGUGUUAACAUUUGUGUUUUUUGACGAGUUAUAAUUCACUUUCAAACCGUUGGCUCUAGAUGAAGACAUUGUUUAACAGUACUUAAAGGUGGCACGUACUUACUGAGUCUUUUUUAGUUUUUAAAUGACAUAACGGUCUGUUAGAAACAAGUCAUGUAUAAACCAAAGUAUGUUGAUUAUGAUAUUGUGAGAGAUGUCAUACCAAAUAUUAUUAGACAAGUGAUAAGUUUUAGAAUUUUAACUUUUUCAAACACAGUCAUAGUUAAAAUGGCUUCACGACAAGAUAGUUUUAUUGUACUGUUAACAUAUCAAUCGCAUGAUGUACAGGUAUUAAAGUUGUCUCGGACUCUACCUUGUCUUACUUAGGACUGAUCCAAUGCGUGUAGUUUAUCGACUUUAAAGCUGUACCGAUACUGUAUUCCACCUUAAGUUAAGCUGUUUUUCAAGUGACAUAUUUUGCUUGAGCUCACCCACCUUAGAAGCUUUUUUUUUUUUGGGAAGUGUGAUUACUUUAUCAGAAAAUUUGUCUGUUGACAUCAAAAGCAUCUUUUUGCAGCUUUUAUAUGCUUUUUUUUUUAUUUUUUUGACCAGUUGAAUUACACGUAAUUAUGGGCAUGGUAUACAAAUCAGAUACAAAUAAAAUAUGGGUAAGUCCACAUGGUAUAGAAACACUAUAAUGCCUGCAGAAUGAUUUUAUUGUAAGAUGGUAAGAGAGUAAGCAGGCUGUAAAAGCAUUUAGUUCUACUAGCCAAUGGGAAUAUUGCAUGUGACAAAGUAACUCCAAUUGUAGGAGGUUAUCUUUUCAGUUUUUACACCAACCAUUUUGUUGUGGGUUUUAAUGGAACCGUUAUGUAGAUUUAUUGUGAUAUUGGUGUUGGAAGGUGAUGAAUAUUUAGUGCCAACUAGAUCAUGUUUAUUGUACGUGUAGUACCCAUCAGGUGUCAAGUCUUCCAACUUUCCACUGAUAUUAUUUUUAUGUAAAAAACAUUCAAAGUGAAAACUUAGGAGGUAAAAAAAAAAGUGUUGUAUUUUACACACAGGUGAUGAAACUAAUAGAUCUGAAAUACAUACAUAUAUACAUAAAUGUACAUGUGAAAACCCCUCCACAUUGAUAAUAUUACCAUUCCAGAUUGGUUUUCAUACGCUGUCUAUCCCCAUUUAUGUAGAAGUCAGGUGUGUGUUGUUAUCUCUUGCCAACAUGAAGCGUUUUGCACUGUUUUCUGCUGUAAUUUGUUGAUUUUCUUAAAUAUUAAACUUCUAUAUCCUACUGCUGUACUAAAACAUGUAUUUUCUGGUAGGACAAUUUGGGUUUUGUUCCAGUAUUCUGAUGUUUUGUUUUUGUAACGUGGUGUAGAUGUGCCAAGUAUGGUGUAAGUGUAUUGGUAUGGUGUAAAUGUGCCAGAUAUGGUGUAAGCGUAUUGGGUAUGGUGUUAAUGUGCCAGGUAUGGUGUAAGCGUAUUGGGUAUGGUGUAAAAGUGCCAGAUAUGGUGUAAGCAUAUUGGGUAUGGUGUAAAUGUGCCAGGUAUGGUGUAAGCGUAUUGGUGUGGUGUAAAUGUGCCCAGUAUGUUGUAAGCGUAUUGAGUAUGGUGUAAAUGUGACAGGUAUGGUGUAAGCGUAUUGAGUAUAGUGUAAAUGUGCCAAGUAUGUUGUAAGCGUAUUGAGGAUGGUGUAAAUGUGACAGGUAUGUUGUAAGCGUAUUGGGUAUGGUGUAAAUGUACUCAGUUUGGUGUAAAUGUACUGGUCAUGGUGUAAGCUCACCAGGUACAUGUGUGUAAGUGUUGGUCUCUCAGAGAACUGGAUAGAAUCUCAGUAUUUUUCUUAACAGACAUACAUGCAGGUGUAUCUUCCUUACAGUAUAGACCUGAUGCACAAAUUGAUUCAGGCCCAUAGAUCUUGAACAGUGCCAGCAACUCAAGCUCUGUUUUUUUUUUUUGUUUUUUUUUUUUGCCAGCACAUUUUCAGAGAGUCUUCUGUAUUUCUGACAUCACUGUAUGAUGUUGAUGUACCUAGAUAAUUGAGGAAGCUCAGGUCUGGUUUGCAGGUGAUGUACUCCCACAAAUCCGUCUCUUGUUACUUGGCAGUGGCAUACCAGUUAAUCUCUUGGUACUGUACUGUAAUUUGAUUUUUGCACGUUCAGCAGAUGUUGUCCUGCUAUAUGCAAUUUUGACAAAAUUUGCCAGUCAAAAUCAGUCAGUCGUUCAGAAAUCACUCCAUGCAAGUCAUCGCUUUAAAGGACUGCGUGUUGUUAAUUGUUAUAUUAAAAACCUUGACAGUUAACCCACCAGAUUGUUAGCUGGAUGCACAAGGUAAUGAAAUGAACGAUAAUAUGUAUAGGUCUGCGAGAGACUACGGAAGGCAUUUAAUUAGUAUUCAGAGCCUGAAUUUAAUUGUUACCGUGGUCUGGAGUCUUGUUAAAAAGUAUGGUUAAUUAAUUAGCAUUUAUUCCUCUUACAUGUACCACUGUUCACUUUCACUCUUGUUUAUCUUCACUCCUACUUACUUUUAGUUAUAGUUCUAUUUUCUACUGAAUAACCUACAUAUAUUUUCUUUCUGCUGUACUUAGCGUACAAUAUUUAACUGGCUCAAUUAUUGUCUGCAUGGAUUUUCAUAGUUAUCAGCAUUCUAUGCUUAUAAAGGUUAAUGCUUGUCAUUGGGUUUAUACAUGUACAUAUAUUUUGUGUGUGUAUGCAUUGCAGCAAACUGUACAUCACACAAAUGAUCAAGAGUUGUCUUCUCUUAGGUAUAAACUGCUUAUACGGACUGCUUCCUUUACUGUGUACAUACAGAACAUGUUUGAAAAUGAAAGUGCAUGUCCAUUUCUGUGGAACAAGGUUUAAGAUGUGCAUGUAGAUGUAAAAUUGGCUAUUCAUUCCACACAUGAAGUCAACAUUGUGUUGUUUUACUUCAUGAUAUAGUUGCGUCAAGUUAUAUAUACGUGUAUAUUUAUUUCAGUAUUGUUUCACACUGAUGAACUGCAAUCUCAUGGAUAAGAGCAGCGGUCUCAUGUUUAAGAACAUAUCAGGUCUUAUUCGUCCAUAAAAAUCUAUGCCUGCCACAAAAAUUACCAUAUCAUAUCCCUGUUAGUAUUAUACACAUAAUUUUCCUUUAUUUUUUAUUUGUGUGUGUGUGUAUUCUGCGUAAAAAAAUUAUUUGGAUGCAUAUUUUAUAAGUAUCAAAAUAAACCCAUAGAUGAUACAUAUACUUAAUAAUCCUUGAUUCUCCUUUUUGCUAAAAUUCCCUAUAAAGACAUAUGAAGAUAUGAAAAUAGUUCAUAUAAAUUAAAAGCAAAUGUUUGCGAUUAUAUUAUGUUGAGCCUGCCUUGGAAGUACAAUUGUAUUAUGGGAUAUUGUUAGUAUUGAAACCUCUUGUACAUCAUUAAGUUUAAGCUUCCGUUUGGGACUGCAUACAUGCAAACGAGUUGUACAUUUGUAGAAAUUGUCAGCUCAGACUGUGUGUGUAAAUAAUCAGUAUCAUAAUUUUAUUGAAA